UACGUAGGGGGCAAGCGUUGUUCGGAAUUACUGGGCGUAAAGGGCGCGUAGGCAGCACAGCAAGUCGGGAGUGAAAGCCCGGGGCUCAACCCCGGAAUGGCUUUCGAAACUGCUGAGCUAGAGUACAGAAGGGGCAACCGGAAUUCCCAGUGUAGCGGUGAAAUGCGUAGAUAUUGGGAAGAACACCUGAGGCGAAGGCGGGUUGCUGGGCUGAUACUGACGCUGAGGCGCGAAAGCCAGGGGAGCAAACGGG
rnacentral:rRNA from 1 species